rnacentral:lncRNA from 1 species
UGAGAAUUGUCAAGAAAAAUUAAGACACAAAUCAUACUUUUGGAGAAUGUCGAGUAAAAGUUCAUGCAAAUCAAGACAAAAACUGGUAUUUUCAGACUUUUUGACUUUUGUAGUGAAGAAUGAUGAGCCACUUCCAUAAUUAUACUGAUUUAAAAUAAUGAAGAUCUCGUUACUGACGACAUCUACAUUUCUGGAUGACGAAUACAACACGUUUAUAAAGUAUUCCCCUCAACUGUUCACUCAUUAAAAUAUACACCGCAAAGUUUAGCAAAAAUCCACCCAAUAAACAAAAUGAUGCCAAGUCUAAGAUGAAUGAUAAAUUAUCAUAGUAUACACGUCCAAAUGUUUUAUAGAUUUGUGGUAGACUGAAUGAAAUUGCACCCGCCAACCAUGUAAAAAUGUGUAAUAAGUCCGAAAUUAUAAAUAUAAUACCAAUUGUUAUAACCAUCAUUGCAGAUCGUCGAUAUUUUGACCAAACGACUGACGAGUAAGCCUGACGACGACAUAUGCUAUGACGUUUGAGUUGGCAUGUGAUAUAGACGACACAUAUUAGUACAACGACAACGGCUAAACAGUAACUGACUGAAACUGUCCAUAAAUAAUAUUCCCAAAUAUUUGCAAGAUUGCGG